UUCCAGACUCCUACGGGAGGCAGCAGUGGGGAAUAUUGCACAAUGGGGGAAACCCUGAUGCAGCGACGCCGCGUGAGUGAAGAAGUAUUUCGGUAUGUAAAGCUCUAUCAGCAGGGAAGAAAAUGACGGUACCUGACUAAGAAGCCCCGGCUAACUACGUGCCAGCAGCCGCGGUAAUACGUAGGGGGCAAGCGUUAUCCGGAUUUACUGGGUGUAAAGGGAGCGUAGACGGCAGCGCAAGCCAGGAGUGAAAGCCCGGGGCCCAACCCCGGGACUGCUCUUGGAACUGCGCGGCUGGAGUGCAGGAGGGGCAGGCGGAAUUCCUGGUGUAGCGGUGAAAUGCGUAGAUAUCAGGAGGAACACCGGUGGCGAAGGCGGCCUGCUGGACUGCGACUGACGUUGAGGCCCGAAAGCGUGGGGAGCAAACAGGAUUAGAUACCCUUGUAGC
rnacentral:rRNA from 1 species